AAACAGAUGUGUGCAGGCCACCUCAUGUUGACCAUCAUAGGAGAGAGCAUGUGCUGCCUCUUUGAAUUUGCAGGAUACGAGGUGCUUAGGUUAAACCAUGUAGGAGAUUGGGGGACCCAGUUUGACAUGCAUAUUCCUCACCUGCAAGAUAAAUUUCCAGCUUGUCUAACAGUUUCACCUCCUAUUGGAAAUCUUCAGGCCUUUUGUAAGGAAUCUAAGAGGUUUGAUACUGAGGAGGAAUUUAAGAAAUGAGCAUAUCAGUGUCACAUUCUGUUCCAGAGUAAAAAUCCAGAUAUUAUAAAAACUUGAAAGUUUAUCUGUGAUAUCUCCUGCCAAUAGUUUAGUAAAAUCUAUGAUGCUCUGGACAUCUCUUUAAUAGAUAAAGAAUAAUUCUUCUGUCAAGAUAGGAUGAAUGAUGUAAAGGAAUUUGAUGAUAGAUGAUUUGUGCAAGUGGAUGAUGGCAGAAAGUUUGUGUUGGUCCCAGGAUGUUCCAUACCAUUAACCAUGGUAAAAUCAGAUGGAGGCUGGGUGUGGUAGCUCAUGCCUAUAAUCCAAGCACUUCGGGAGCCUGAGGCAAAAUCAGAUGGAGGUUAUAACUAUGAUGCAUCUGAUCUGGCUGCUCUUAAGCAAAAACUAUUUGAGGAGAAAGAAGAUAUGGUUAUCUCUGGGUGAACAGUGGACAAUCUCUGCACUUCCAAAAAAUAUUUGCUGCUGCUCAAAAGAUUGGUUGGUAUGAUCCUAAAGUAACUAGAGUCUCCCGUGCUGGAUUUGGUGUGUUGCUAGGGGAAGACAAGAAGUUUAAUAUAUGUUCAGAUGAAACAGUUCAUCUCGUAGACCUGGAAUAAGGACUAAAGUGAUCCAUGGACAAAUUGAAGGAAAAAGAAAGAAGCAAGGUCUUAACUGCAGAGGAAUUGAGUGCUGCUUAGACAUCUGUUGCUUAUGGCUGUAUCAAAUAAACUGAACUUUCCCAUAACCGGUUGAGUGACAACAUCUUCUCGUUUGACAAAAUGCUAGAUGACAGAGGAAAUACAGCUGCUUACUUUUUGUGUGGUUUCACUAGAACCAGGUCUAUUGCACAUCUGGCCAGUAUCAAUGAUCAGAUGCUCCAAAAAGCUGCUUGACAGACCAAGAUUAUUUUGCACCAUGAGAAAGAAUGGAAACUAGGCCAUGGCAUUUUAUGGCUCCCUGAGAUACAACAAAAGAUUUUAGAUGACUUACUUCUGGUUCUUGUGGUUCUAUAUAUGAGCUGGCAGCUACUUUCACAGAGUUCUAUGAUAGCUGCUAUUGUGUGGAGAAAGAUCGACAAGAGUGGAGAGAUAUUGAAGGUGAACAUGUGGUGUACGCUGCUGCGUGAAGCAGUAGAUGCUGUCCUGGCUGAGGAGUUCAAUAUCCCGGGAAUAAAACCUGUCCAAAGGAUG
rnacentral:lncRNA from 1 species